UAGUAUGAGAUUACAUUUUUUGUCCUUUCACUGGUUCUAAUCAGAAGUUACUGUAAAUAUGAUUGUGUUUAUAUCAACAGAACAAAACCUUCUACUCCUCAGGCUAGAGAACAGGAAGAUACCUGAAAAAUUAGUCUGAUUCUGCAUUUAUUGCAUUUUACUGCUUCCAUAUAAUGUAUGUUUGCUUUACAAAUAAAUUUACAUUGAUCACAUCACCUCUUCACAGCUUUCAGUCCUGUAACACCCUUCUUAUUUUGAGUUACAUUCUCCAGCAUUAUUAAUUCAGUAGUCUGUAAUUAAAUGAUUGGCUGAUCAAAUUGUUCCCUCCAGAGCACCUGUGUAAAUGCAUUGAAGACUGAUUGAUUUAACUGAGGUCACUCAGCGAUAGUUUAGUCUUCAAACUCACUGUUAUGAAAGAUGAGAAACAGAGAGGAACAUAUCUCAGGAGGGAAAGACUCUCUGAGCUGGGGGCAGGAAGACUGCAUCUUUUAACCUUGGAUAUUUUUUCUUUUAAUUCCCAAGAAGCAGAAUGAUUCUGAAACCAGAGACCCAAGACCACACAGACUGUUGUGGUUUAUUACUCUACAGUGUCAAAACUGCAGUUCAGAUUUAAAAAUACAUCAUGGUAAUUAGCUGGUUUGCAUUCUGUCACCAUGUGAGAACAAAAGGAAAAUUUGAGUGUGAGGGUGUAAAGUGUACGUCAAAUGAAAGUCUACCUAGACAAGAACCGUGAGGUUGUGAUCCCAUCUGAGGAGAUUUCAAGUUACAGAGCUGUGUUGACUUGCUGUGGAAAAAGCUGAAGAAUUGUUUCAAAAAUAAUUAUAGGAGAAGAUAGAUCUUGUUCACAGAGAUUUAAAAAUGGAAAACAUUUUAGUUAAAAGCAGUGACAUCAAUGAAGCAAAUGAAAUGAAAUUAAACAUGAAGGACCAGCUUGAGUGACAGUGGAAACCAGUGGAAGUCUAAUGUACAAGGACAAAUAUAUUUGUACAAUAUAAUAGAGAUGUUGAUUUCAUUGGGCCAAAGCUGCUGACUUACUGAGUGACUGGCUCUGAAAAGCUGCCCCUGAAGGCAGAGGAGGAAGGGAAGAUAGAAGAACUCCAUGCAGGAAAAAGAGGUACAACUGUUGCAAAACAGCUGAGGACUGCUGCCACUCGCCACUUGGCUCAGCCAAUGGAGGUGAUACUUGCUCCACUCACUGUCUGGUUCAAAAAGGAAAUAAAUGAGCAGGUCCCUACAAUGAGGACCUGUAUUGGUGAUGCUGUACUGUUCAUUGAUGAUGAUGUAAGGUGCUUCUUUUCUGUUCUUUUUUUUUUUUUUUUCCCUUCUGUUUUUCUUUGCCCUUUUCUUCUCUGCUCCUUUAACCUAUCAGGUGUUCAUUGCAAUCUCUUAGGUGAUAUGCACAACUAACUUAUUAUCUCAUGAGCUUUAUCAUGACCUCUAUGCAAGCAACUGUCACUUUGCAUUUUCAUUCUACAUGUUGUUGUCUUCAAACUGCCGUAGUCUACCUUACAAUAUUGCAAAGUUAAGUUUGGUGCAGGUAACACAUUCCUUUGUUAUAAGGUCAACUUCUCCUCUAUUGCUGCCUGGUUUUGAAGCCGACAGUGCUACCUGAGCCAUCCCUGCUUACAUAAAGUUGAUUUGUAACUUCUGACGUGCUGCAGAAACUUUCAGGAACGUCCAUCUAAACAAUUAGAUUAAAUUACAAAACAGUUUUUUUCUUAGAAAGUUUCCAUAUAAAUGCCGUCUCUUCUAGUAUAUGACACUGAUUAUUAUCUGAUGUUCAAACAAGUGUUGAAAAAGACAUUAUAGAAGGUAGUUGGGAUGUAUAUAACCCAUCCAAAAGGCAUGUUUUUCAGGUGUGGGUUUUUUUUUCUACUUAAACCAUGAAUGCUUUGUAUUCAAUAAUAUAAAGCUUUUACCCCUCUCUGAUCUAAACUGCACACUAUAAUACAUUUCACUCCAUUAUCUGAUAUAUUUUUUUAAUUCUAUGAAGUUUUUUUUCCUCCAUGGUAUAUACCAGCAAUGCAUUUCACAGCUUGCUUAGAACAGACUGAAGCAAGAAAGAAAUCUUCUUUGGCAGAAGAUAAUUAGUCCUCCUGACAUUUUGAUUGAUGAAAUACUAGCAGUGUUAAAUACUUCUUUAAGUGAGUGGGUUGCAUGGGAUGAAAUUACUUUCCGAUUUACUAAUCAUGACAGAAACAUAGAGUCUCAACACUGGAAGGGACCUUGAGUCACUUGAUUUAUUUCUCUGUCCAAAGAAAGAAGCAGCUAUACUUGAGACAUUUCUGAUGAAUAUUUGUGUAAAGUGUACUUUAAGACCUCCAGUAAUAGAGACUCCCUAAUCUUCCCAGGCGGUCAAUUCUGAUGCUUCAUUAUCCUCCUAGAAAUUUUUCCUCCUGUCUGCCCUGAACCUUCAGUUUGACAGUCAGCUUAAACUUACACCUACAGGCCACGAUCUAAUCACUUUUUUCAUUAUAAGUUUUCAGUUGACUCACCUGCAGCCACAUAAUUGCUAGAGCUGACCUAAGGGAGGUGGUGGGAGCCUGUGAGCGGGGCCGAGGAAAAGGGUGGAACAGCACUUUGUAUUUUUAGACUAUUAUUUCUCACCCUAUCCAUCAUGGAUAUGAAGAACAGGUAGCCACCUUCUUUCUUUCAGCAAUCUGCUAUUACCCUUCUCCCUCCAUCUGACGUUCUUUAGACUGAAAACCUUGAAUUUUCUUAGUCCUGUCCUGCGUUUCUGAUCUUUGUGAUUUACCUGCCAUGCUCCAUUUGGUAGCUAUUAUGUUAAAAAGGGGUGUCCAAAGUUGAGCACAUCUGUUUGAAGCCUCGCCAGUGCUGGGCUGAGUGGAAGGACUGUUUUGGAUGUAAUGCAGGCCUUUUGCUUGUGUACAAAACACAGGUGAUGACUGUCUUUUUGCAAUCUGGCCUAUUUUUCAUCCAGCAUGUUUAAAUAAACUUCUAAGACAGAAGAGAGGGAGGAGUGUUGGUCUUCGUCUCCCUCAGUAAGGACAGGUGUAUGGAAAGAGGGCUUCUACCAGAGUGGCUGUUCUACACCAAACCUGCCUCACAGAGCCCUUCUCAGGUUAGCCCAGAACUGUUAACUCCUCCUCAGCUUGUGAUUCACUACAGUCCUGGAACUGUCGCCUAACCAACUGCUCUCCAUGUAUUUGCAUUCUGAGCUUGUCUUUCAAUAUACUUACAGUCAUUCAUGGCUUGAUGUUGUCUUCAGAUUUAAUAAGCUUGUUCUCUCUUGGAUCUUCCAGGUCAUCAGUUACGAAGGUAUCUUGUCUAGGACAGACACCUACAAAACAUGCCUUUGAUGCAGCCUUCCACUUUGACAAUGAACAAAUAACAGCUACUGAGAAACACUUUUACAAGCAUGUAUGCAUUAUUGCUGUGAUAUUUUCAUGCAAGCAGUAUGAAAAAAUGAAAAAAGUUGCAUGAAAUGGUAUCAAAAGCCCUACUAAAAGCAAGAGAGAUGAUGAUACUCAGUGAUCCUCCUCUAACCCUGAAGCCUGUCAACUUGUGCUAUAAGGAGAUUUGUUGCUGACAAGUGCAUAAUGGCUUACUUAUCUCUUUGUUUUCUUCUAGAUGCUUAUUAUUUCCAGUAUUUUCCUGGGAAUUAAAACUAAUGGGAUGCAUCUGUAAUUCUUUGAUGCCAGCAUUUCCACCUUGUUACAGACAGAUACCAUGAUUACCUUUUUCAGUUUUCAAGCACUUCACCCGCCUUCUGCAAAGUUCUUGAAACACUAAUAGCUUUGAAAAGUCUUGUCAGUUUUUAUAGUACUCUGGAAUGAAUUUUAUCGUUUGCAGCUGAUUUUAAAAUUUCCAACCAAAGUACUUGGUAACCUUUUGCUUCUCUGUAAAAGACUGAGGUCUUGCCCCUUUGUCACUGAUAUUGAUUGUGCUAUCCCCUGCUUGCAGUUGACAUUUUGGUCAAGAUUGAUGUUAAAAGACAUUAAAUACAUUUGCCUUCUGAGCAUCAUCUAUCAGUAGCAUUCUGGGUUGAAUACAAUAGCAGCCCCUUUAUUCAUUGUCUUCCUACUACUCACAUAGUUAAGAGAUUGUUUCAGUUUUCAGCUAUAUUCCUUGCCAGUUGCUCCUCAUUUUUACUUUCUGAUUUUGCCCUGCUGUCUUUAUUUCCCUGUUGUUCUUGUUUGUAUUUCUUGUAUGCUCCAUCCUUGUGAUUGAGACUUGUGGAAAUACAUGGUUUAACCAGACUGGUUUAUUAAUGGUAAGUCAUAGCAGUUCCCCAGUUCGGUCAUUUUAUUUUGGAUAUGUUAUCUAUAUAUAUGGGUAUAAACUUAAACACUUGUAAAUUUUCCUGUGAUGUUAAUAAUGUGAAGUACUGUUGGUUUAAAAUAUUUUCAAAACACUCAAUUGCAAAUAAGAUGAUAUUUGGGUAAGUAGGUUUUGGCCAGUUUGGAAGUAUUAAUGGUAAAAAUUUCUUUUAAAGUCUUGUUUUACCAGCUGUGGUAUUAUCAAAUCAUUCAGUUAACCUAUUUUUAAUUCUUUAAUAUAAGAAGUAGGUAUCUAAAGCUUGGUAUCUACCUAAAUCAUGAAAAACUGAAAUGACAAUUAACCUAGCUUUUUGGUGUGGUGGGAUAGCACCAAAUAAAAUAGUCUCUGCCAUCUGCUCUUCUGUUGCAUGAAGGUUUUAUUUUCUCUUCCUUCAUAGGGCUAAAUAUAUCAUCUCCAGUGAUUCUGGAAUUGAAGACCAUCGUUCUUGCUUUGAACUCCUGACCACAUCUCCCAUGACGUAACAGAUAAAAAUAUGGCCCCAAAGCAGCAUCUUUUUGAGUAGCUGAAACAAAAUUAAGUGAUUAGUGAAUAGACUAUAAUUAGUGAAUUUUUAAUCUAGGAUAUAGAUCCAUUUGAAUAUUUUUAGAGUAUUUUGGCAUUGAUUUUGUUUAUUGUAUGAUGUAUUCUAGCCAAUGUGCAAACAGAGGCUGUUCUGUCUUGCAAAAACCCUGUGUUCUUUUGUUCUACUCUUACUUCUGGGAGAAGAAAAAGUUCGUAUGGUAUCUUGCAGUACUUAAGUCAGCAUUUUAAGAAUGCCCCUUUAAUAACUUACUGCGGGGAAAAACAAUGCUAAGUUUAAUCAUACAGCUAAUGUCACAAUGUCACCACCUCCUUAACAGCUAAAUGAUAAAAGUGAGGACACAUCAGCAUGAAUUGUUCAGGUCUGUACAUUAUUCAUUUAAACAUCUGCUGUUGGUUCCUCUUUACAUAUGGGAAUAAAUUAUACCACAUCAGCACAUUCUUCAUUCUUUGUGUUUAAGCAUUUAAAAGUUUUUUUUUGUAUUAUUAAUAUUAUUUUUUCUGCUUGGUUGGCAGCCCUUGAAGUUAUCAGUGCCCAGGACUACAGUCAACAGUGUGACGUUUAGAGCACAGGUGUCAUUAUGUACAUGCUGGUGAAACACAUUUUGUCCAGAGACAAUGUAAUGUCUUGGAGUUGAUAAAGGAAUGAAGCAACAAUCUGGACAUUGGUGAGGGAUGCAGUAUAGAAGAAGAAUCAAAUAUUCCUACUACUGCAUGUCAACAGGAUGAAACCAGUGAAGCACAAGAAAGCUCUACCAGUGCCAAACAGUGACACAGAACUUGGUGCAGAAGUUGAAAGAGGGAAUUGGGGCAAAAAAUUCUCCUCACCAGCGAAACAGACCAGCAAGGAAAAAAGUGGCACACCUGCUUUACCAAAUGGAACACUCAGAAAGAAUAAUAUGACCCUCCAGACACCAGAGAGCCUCCUGCAGGAAGGUCUGUAUCUCCAGUAUCAAAUUCAAAGCAUGAGUGCCAAGAAAAAAAGGGAGAACUGAACAAGUCCUCAGCGUGUUCAGCCCAGGAACUGGGAAAUAAAAACAUCCUGGAGUAUGCUGUCUCACUUAGAACCAACAAGAAAUCAUAGGACAUCCAUCAACUCUGAACAACUUAAGUGUAAACAACUAUUACAUGUGCCAAAAUGAGUAGACUAUAUAAAGAUGGACAAAUAUAUCCUGAAGUGUUUGUCUCUUUACUCUCCUGAACCCUUUAAUCAGAAAGCUUUAGCUUUCCUUUAACACUGGAAAAAAUCUAACAGCAGUGUGAACUCCUAACCUGUAAGAGGACAUCCACUGAUAGUAUUUUUGUCAGAGAACAAAUUAUAGAAUUGCCUAAAAAUGUAUGUAAUUUAUUUGUUCUGUACUAGCAGGCACCAUGCCAGGUAGGCAGUUUGCUUUCACAAAUCCAUUUUGCUGUGUUUUACUUGCCUUUACUUUCUUUACUUUUGUCACAAACGUUUAGGGGGAAAAAUGAUGCUGGAAUCUGUAAUAGGGAUUCCAGAUAACUGUGGGCUUUGCACUGUGAGAAUAUUCUAGGAAAUUGCUUAUAAAUUUGCUUGAGGCAUUAUAACACAAGCGCUUCAGUCUAUGGAAUUUGUAACUGCUAUUUUAGGUUACUGUCAAUUGCUUAUUUUUAAGCAGAACUUAUUUUAAGCUUGACAAAUAUAAAAUGUAUUUUUAAGUACAACAGAAUUGCUAUGGUUCUCACUGCUGAAUUUCUGGUGUUUUGAUUAAAUUCUUUAAAUAAAACAGGUGUUAGAGUAAUGGCCUUUACAAGUUAAUUAAUCUUCAUUUUCAAGGGGAUGAGCUACCAUUAAGCUUAGGUUUAUUAUAUGUUUGUGUAAAUUGCAAAGUGAUUUACUGUUCCACAGACGAAACCGUUGUCUAAAAACAGAUCUCACCAGUAGACUGGUACUGUGGUACCUUAUGUGAGUAAAAUACACACGCUCUUUAUUGGUUAAAAAGGUUUCCUUAAAGUCUGUGUUUUGGCUCAUUCAAGUAAUUCUGCUGUGAACAUCAGUCUGAGGAGACAUCAUCUCUUCUAUUCUCUACACUAAUUGUGAAGUUCCUCUUACAGUUGUUAACAGCCUCGAUUUUAUUUAGGUGCCAAGCAAUGCUGUUACAGGGCCAGCAUGCUUCCUGAAUACUUGGAGAGACCUUAUUUACAGUAAAGUAAGUAAAAACUUUUUGUCAUCUUAAAAUAUUAAAAAGUUCAUAUAUCAAUCUCAUACUCACUAAAGAAUGUGUGUGUGUGUAUAAUGAGGCACCUUUUGGGGAGUAUUCAUGUUUUAGUUUUGGUUUUUCAGAUGAGAUUGAGUCUGUUGAGUAGUUGGACACAAAAGGCAUGUUCUGCAAAAUGCA